rnacentral:rRNA from 1 species
AGCGUAGGCGGUUCGUUAAGUGGGAUGUGAAAGCCCCGGGCUCAACCUGGGAACUGCAUUCCAAACUGACGAACUAGAGUAUGGUAGAGGGAGGUAGAAUUUCCUGUGUAGCGGUGAAAUGCGUAGAUAUAGGAAGGAAUACCGGUGGCGAAGGCGGCCUCCUGGACCAAUACUGACGCUGAGGUUCGAAAGCGUGGGGAGCAAACAGGAUUAGAUACCCUGGUAGUCC